ensembl:rRNA 5S_rRNA 5S ribosomal RNA
GCUUACGGCCAUACUACCUUAGGCACGCCCGGUCUCGUCUGAUCUCGGAAGCUAAGCAGGGUCGGGCCUGGUUAGUACUUGGAUGGGUGACCGCCUGGGAAUACCAGGUGCUGUAAGCA